rfam:Metarhizium anisopliae BRIP 53293 unplaced genomic scaffold Scaffold_43, whole genome shotgun sequence.
UCUGACCAUCUUUGCAGGAGAAUCAUUUCUAUAGUGUUCGACCUUCUCUUGGUUUCCUACAGAAGCCACAGAAUCCACCCUGGUUGAUGAAUGUAUAUCCUCGACGCCCUAGAGUGAAAGCUCCGGUUCCUCUCGCUCUGUCCGCAAGGAUGGCGGUGUUUGCACCUGCAGAUGCUGUAUAGAGAGAUUGUUCCCGUAUGGCAUGGCAACAUGUCGGGAAGCUUUGUUGAUGAUCUCGACCCUGUUUGUUGUUUGCCCUCGGGCGCAUGGGCAGGGUGGGCGUUGAUGGACGUCUGACAGGU